GACGAACCGUGCGAACGUUGUUCGGAAUCACUGGGCUUAAAGGGCGCGUAGGCGGGCUGUCAAGUCUGGGGUGAAAUGCCGCGGCUCAACCGUGGAACUGCCUUAGAUACUGACGGCCUCGAGGAAGGUAGGGGCAUGCGGAACUGUAGGUGGAGCGGUGAAAUGCGUUGAUAUCGCUUGGAACGCCGAAGGUGAAAACAGACUGCUGGGGUUGCGCCGACGCUGAGACACGAAAGCCAGGGGAGCAAACGGG
rnacentral:rRNA from 1 species